rnacentral:rRNA from 1 species
AUGCAAGUCGAACGAUGAUGCCCACUUGUGGGUGGAUUAGUGGCGAACGGGUGAGUAACACGUGAGUAACCUGCCCUUAACUCUGGGAUAAGCCUGGGAAACUGGGUCUAAUACCGGAUAUGACUCCUCAUCGCAUGGUGGGGGGUGGAAAGCUUUUGUGGUUUUGGACGGACUCGCGGCCUAUCAGCUUGUUGGUGAGGUAAUGGCUCACCAAGGCGACGACGGGUAGCCGGCCUGAGAGGGUGACCGGCCACACUGGGACUGAGACACGGCCCAGACUCCUACGGGAGGCAGCAGUGGGGAAUAUUGCACAAUGGGCGCAAGCCUGAUGCAGCGACGCCGCGUGAGGGAUGACGGCCUUCGGGUUGUAAACCUCUUUCAGUAGGGAAGAAGCGAAAGUGACGGUACCUGCAGAAGAAGCGCCGGCUAACUACGUGCCAGCAGCCGCGGUAAUACGUAGGGCGCAAGCGUUAUCCGGAAUUAUUGGGCGUAAAGAGCUCGUAGGCGGUUUGUCGCGUCUGCCGUGAAAGUCCGGGGCUCAACUCCGGAUCUGCGGUGGGUGCGGGCAGACUAGAGUGAUGUAGGGGAGACUGGAAUUCCUGGUGUAGCGGUGAAUUGCGCAGAUAUCAGGAGGAACACCGAUGGCGAAGGCAGGUCUCUGGGCAUUAACUGACGCUGAGGAGCGAAAGCAUGGGGAGCGAACAGGAUUAGAUACCCUGGUAGUCCAUGCCGUAAACGUUGGGCACUAGGUGUGGGGGACAUUCCACGUUUUCCGCGCCGUAGCUAACGCAUUAAGUGCCCCGCCUGGGGAGU